rnacentral:lncRNA from 1 species
UACAUUAAAAUAAAACAAAACAAAUUCUAAACAUAUCAAAAAAAUUCUCAGACAAAUCAAUUGAUCUCCCAUCUUGCUCCAGCGUGUCCAAUAACCUCGACUUAGUCUUCAUCCUCAUUAAGCUCGAUUUCUUCUGAAACGACGAAUUCGAGCUGCAAGUCACCAUCUCCUCCCCGUCAUCGUCGACGAAUUCGGGCUUAUAAUCUAGUGUGGAGGACUUGAUUUGGGCCUCUGGUUUGGGGUUACGGAUCUUGUUGGCUAAUAAUGUUUGCGGUUUGGAAGAUGGCUCUGACUGUGAUAGUAGUCUUCUUCGUCUUUUUCCAAAUUCUAAUUUGUUCUCGUCAGAACCAGGGUUAUGAGCUGAGGAAUCUCUGUUAACCCUAGAUCUGACAGAUAUGAAAAUUUUGGGCUGUCAGAAUCUGAAGAAAGUGAUCGACACUGUGUUUAGAUCGGAAUAUAAGUGAAGUUCCAGAUGUCUGAUCUCUAAUUUUUAUCUAUUAGCAUGAUUUUUUUUCUUUUUUUUUUAGGAUCAGUUGCAAUCAAUGAGUUAAAUUGUUUGUGUUUCUAAACAGGGGUUAUUGCUUAAUCUUUUCAUGUUCAGUUUAUUAAUGGUGGUAAAUUUGGUUGUUGUUAUGUCUGAUUUGCUUAUUACUGUUGUUUCCCCCUUUGUCUGGUUUGGGGGUGUUUUAGUUCUGCCGGAGCAUUCCCAAUCUGGUUUCAUGGUUUAUUGCCCAUGAUCAGAUUUGGGAUCUUCCAGAUCGGCGGCAAUGUUGGACGGAGAUGCUGGAGUAGCUUGAAUCUGGGAAGGGAGUCUGGGUGCAGACAGCUUUGAGUGCGGCGGCGGGAGAUGUGGUAGGAGUUGAGGAGGGGUUGGUGUUGUUUUUUUGUGGAGGAAGGUGCCGAGUUCCGACGAUUGCGCCGAUAAUAAUGGAGAGGAGGAGGUGGAGUAGCAUGAAUCUGGGAAGUGAGUUUGGAGCUUUGUGAUUGAUUAUAGUAUUAAUGAAAGUUUUGUUCCUAAUUUACCCUUUGGUAUAUAAUUAAUGUUUAAUCUCAAAAUAAAAAUAAAAAAAUUUGACACAUCAGCUGUUUUGUACUCCACUCAAAUAGCCACGUCAGCGAUUUCUGACGUGGCAGCCUCAAUUGGA